GAUGAACGCUAGCUACAGGCUUAACACAUGCAAAUCGAGGGACCGGCGCACGGUGGCGUAACACGUAUCUUCCCUGCCCUUUACUCGGGGAUAGCCUUUCGAAAGAAAGACUAAUUCCCUCUAAAAAGGAUGGGGAUGCGUUCCAUUAGGUUGUUGGUGAGGGAACGGCUCACCCAGCCUUCGAUGGAUAGGGGUUCUGAGAGGAAGGUCCCCCACAUUGGAACUGAGACACGGUCCAAACUCCUACGGGAUGCAGCAGUGAGGAGUAUGGGGCAAUGGGCGGUAGCCUGAACCAGCCAAGUAGCGUGAAGGAUGAAGGCUUAUGGGUCGUAAACUUCUUUUAUAUAAGAAUAUGUAUUAGAUGAAUAAGGAGCGGCUAACUCCGUGCCAGCAGCCGCGGUAAUUC
rnacentral:rRNA from 1 species